CACCGCGGUUAUACGAGAGACCCAAGUUGACAAAUACCGGCGUAAAGAGUGGUUAGGGAAAAAAUCUUUAAAUAAAGCCGAACACCCUCAAAGCUGUUAUACGCUACAACAAGAAUACGAAGUUCAAUCACGAAAGUAGCUUUAAACCACCCGACCCCACGAAAGCUAUGGCA
rnacentral:rRNA from 1 species